AUAUUGGGACCAGCAUCCAAGGAACUGGAGCUGGAAUGGAGUCUUUGGAAAUUUGAUAGAGAAGUCUGCCAAGGAUAAAUCAUAGCAGUGCACAAACUGCAGUGGAAAUGGAUCGUUCGACACGGGAACAGAAGACAGCAAAUCUAAACCACAGACAAUCCUGACGUGCGCAGAGUGGAAGUGUUAAAAUGCCAUUAAUGAAUCAGGAUCUGAGCAUGAAAUUACAAGUGGAUUGAAAUCCUGGAAGGAACUUUAUUACUUUUAGUCCACAUUAACAGAAACAACAGGACAACGAAGGUGUAAGACCAUUAUUGGAAAUUAAAUAAAGAGCAGCUGUUC